rnacentral:rRNA from 1 species
UACGGGGGGGGCAAGCGUUGUUCGGAAUUACUGGGCGUAAAGGGCUCGUAGGUGGCCAACUAAGUCAGACGUGAAAUCCCUCAGCUUAACUGGGGAACUGCGUCUGAUACUGGAUGGCUUGAGUUUGGGAGGGGGAUGCGGAAUUCCAGGUGUAGCGGUGAAAUGCGUAGAUAUCUGGAGGAACACCGGUGGCGAAGGCGGCAUCCUGGACCGGCAUUGACGCUGAGGCGCGAAAGCCAGGGGAGCAAACGGG